rnacentral:snRNA from 1 species
GUCUCUUCAGAGACAUCCGAUAAAAUUGGAACGAUAUAGAGAAUAUUAGCAUGGCCCCUGCGCAAGGAUGACAUACACAAAUCGAGAAAUGGUCUAAAUUUUU